UACGUAGGUGCCCAGCGUUGUCCGGAUUUACUGGGCGUAAAGAGCGCGCAGGCGGUCGUUCAAGUCGAGUGUGAAAGCCCCCGGCUCAACUGGGGAGGGUCAUUCGAUACUGAUCGACUUGAAGGCAGGAGAGGGAAGUGGAAUUCCCGGUGUAGUGGUGAAGUGCGUAGAUAUCGGGAGGAACACCAGUGGCGAAGGCGACUUCCUGGCCUGUUCUUGACGCUGAGGCGCGAAAGCUAGGGGAGCAAACGGG
rnacentral:rRNA from 1 species